UACGUAGGGGGCAAGCGUUGUCCGGAAUCAUUGGGCGUAAAGAGUGUGUAGGCGGCUUGGUAAGUCCGCUGUGAAAGUCCAGGGCUCAACCCUGGAAUGCCGGUGGAAACUGUCAAGCUUGAGUCCGGAAGAGGCGAGUGGAAUUCCUGGUGUAGCGGUGAAAUGCGCAGAUAUCAGGAGGAACACCAAUGGCGAAGGCAGCUCGCUGGGACGGUAUUGACGCUGAGACGCGAAAGCGUGGGGAGCAAACAGG
rnacentral:rRNA from 1 species